AAGGAUCGCCUCAGCUCCCCCUCU
rnacentral:snRNA from 1 species